AGUGCAGGCGGCUUUGUAAGUUAGAAGUGAAAUCCCGAGGCUUAACCUCGGAACUGCUUUUAAAACUGCAAGGCUUGAGUGAUGGAGAGGAAAGCGGAAUUCCUAGUGUAGCGGUGGAAUGCGUAGAUAUUAGGAGGAACACCAGUGGCGAAGGCGGCUUUCUGGACAUUAACUGACGCUCAGGCUCGAAAGCGUGGGGAGCAAACAGGAUUAGAUACCCUGGUAGUCCACGCCCUAAACUAUGGAUACUAGAUGCAGGAGGUAUCGACCCCUUCUGUGCCGGAGUUAACACAAUAAGUAUCCCACCUGGGGAGUACGGCCGCAAGGUUGAA
rnacentral:rRNA from 1 species